rnacentral:rRNA from 1 species
GAUGAACGCUGGCGGCGUGCUUAACACAUGCAAGUCGAACGAUGAAGCCCAGCUUGCUGGGUGGAUUAGUGGCGAACGGGUGAGUAACACGUGAGUAACCUGCCCUUGACUCUGGGAUAAGCCUGGGAAACUGGGUCUAAUACCGGAUAGGAGCGUCCACCGCAUGGUGGGUGUUGGAAAGAUUUAUCGGUUUUGGAUGGACUCGCGGCCUAUCAGCUUGUUGGUGAGGUAAUGGCUCACCAAGGCGACGACGGGUAGCCGGCCUGAGAGGGUGACCGGCCACACUGGGACUGAGACACGGCCCAGACUCCUACGGGAGGCAGCAGUGGGGAAUAUUGCACAAUGGGCGAAAGCCUGAUGCAGCGACGCCGCGUGAGGGAUGACGGCCUUCGGGUUGUAAACCUCUUUCAGUAGGGAAGAAGCGAAAGUGACGGUACCUGCAGAAGAAGCACCGGCUAACUACGUG